AACGCACCUUGCACUCUUUGGUAUUCCGAAGAGUAUGUCUGUUUGAGUGCCACGAAACCCUCGACCCCGCCUGUCUUGUAAUGGGACUGUGCUGUGGGCUCGGAUAAUGGCUGCUGCUGGCUUUACACCGGCUCGGCUGAAAUACAAGAGCAACCCUGUUUGAAAUAAGCGGCUUGACUCAGCGUAAUAACUAUUUCGCUGAGGACGCUUCCUUUCAAUCGAUAAGUGGUGCUUCUAAUUCGUACUCACAUCUUUAGGAUGUGGCCUCAAAUCAGGCAGGGCUACCCGCUGAACUUAA
rnacentral:misc_RNA from 2 species